AGGGAGAUAAGUUAAAAAAACUACGGGGUUCAUGUCCCCAUAAUAUACUUUGUAUUCUCCCUA
rnacentral:tRNA from 1 species